ACAGUGGAAGGUCAGAAUGGGGAAGGCACUACUGAAGUACUGAGGUCCGCCAACCCCAAGUGCUUGAAUCUGAAAGAGGCAAAGGCAGACCAAGGCACAGAGCAAAUAGCUGAGCUUUUCAAGACAUGCAGCUGGCACCUAUCUCUGUGGACGAAAUGAUGUGCUAACUGCCGGUCUUGCUCUCUGUGAGUCUUUCCCUCAGAGGAGAGCGUGCCAACGCGGAUGGUUCACUUGCAUCUACUCUAGCCAUGCUUUGCUUUCGAUGAUGCAGGGAUGAAGAAAGGCUUGGUGACUCUGUGCCCCACUGUGUGGAGAAGACAGGGAGAGAAGGAAGAAGAUGGGGACAUAAGGAGAAGACGGGGAACUGGCUGAUUUGAGAUUAAUAACAUCAAAAAUGUGCUUGGAGGGGGAAGAUUUUUAUUCUUUGUGAUGUCCGUAUAUGGAAUACUAUUAAUAGGGUGGAUGCAAUUCUGAGAAUUCCUAAGGCUGCGUUAGUCCUGUUAGAUAACUCUUCCUUCUGCUAAUCAUACUCAGAGCCCUUUGGGAGAUCUAAUUCCUCUCUCUCUCUCUCUCUCUCUCUCUGUCUCCUUUACCAGUACAUCUUAGCCUUCAUUGUUAUAACUCCCUUUGUUCUCAUAAAUGGGUUUGUUGCUCAUUCCUUUUACAAACUGCAGUACUCCACUAGCUGCCAUUUGGAGAGAAGGUAUUCUUGUUCUCUCUAUCGUUGAUUAUAAAUUGAGUUUUUAUCGUUGAUUAUAAACUUUGUUAUGAAGCCUCAAGAGACAAAGCAUGCCAGCUCUCCACCUCUUUGAGAGGUGCACAGAGAGAAAGCUGCACAGAGUUACACAGCCAAGAGGAGAGGGGAAGAGAGCCUUCCCAACCUGGCCUGUACUCCUUCCUGGCUUCACCUCACUCGCUCCAUAAUUCCUCAAAGGCUAAAACUUUUUUUUUAAGAUUUUAUUUAUUUUAUGUAUGUGAGUACACUGUAACUGUCUUCAGACACACCGGAAGAGGGCAUCUGAUCCCAUUACAGAUGGUUGUGUGUCACCAUGUGGUUGCUGGGAAUUGAACUCAGGACCUCUGGAAGAGCAAUCAGUGCUCUUAACCACUGAACCAUCUCUCUAGUUUGCUAAAACUUUUUUAAAAAUUCACUCCAUUACCCUUCCUACAAAGGGGGUUGGAGGCAGGGGUUACUGUCUUGGAGUAUUUUAACAAUUCAGUGACAUGGCCGAGAUUUUCAAAAGACCUCCCAAUUCAUGCUGUCCAACAGAAAUGUAAUGCAAGCCAUGUCUGUAAUUUAGACUUGCAAGUAGCCACACUUCCAAAAGGCAGAGAAGAAGCUGGCGAAAUUAAUUAUAAUAACACAUUUUCUUUAAUCUGAUGUAUCCAAAAUAUUAUCAUUUCAAGACCUAGUCACCAAAUCUAUGUUAAUGGAAUAUUUUACAUUUAUUUUAUUUCCUACUAAGUCUCUAAAAGCCAAUGUGGAUUUUACACACUGAGACAGUGCACUUUCACAAGAAAUACUCACUUUAUAUGUUGCUUUGUCAAGACUUGCAGUUGAAAAAAAAUAGAUUCACAUACACAAGUUGUGCCAAAAGUACUUAAAUAUUUCCUAAAAUCUGAAUCAAGUAUAAGUGUUUUAAAUUUAAAAUAAUUAAGAUGAACUAAACAUGGAAAG
ensembl:lincRNA